rnacentral:rRNA from 1 species
AGCGAACGCUGGCGGCAGGCCUAACACAUGCAAGUCGAACGAUCCUUCGGGAUAGUGGCGGACGGGUGAGUAACACGUGGGAACGUGCCCUUUGGUUCGGAACAACUCAGGGAAACUUGAGCUAAUACCGGAUGAGCCCUGCGGGGGAAAGAUUUAUCGCCAAAGGAGCAGCCCGCGUCUGAUUAGCUAGUUGGUGGGGUAAAGGCCUACCAAGGCGACGAUCAGUAGCUGGUCUGAGAGGAUGAUCAGCCACACUGGGACUGAGACACGGCCCAGACUCCUACGGGAGGCAGCAGUGGGGAAUAUUGGACAAUGGGCGGAAGCCUGAUCCAGCCAUGCCGCGUGAGUGAUGAAGGCCUUCGGGUUGUAAAGCUCUUUCGCACACGACGAUGAUGACGGUAGUGAGAGAAGAAGCCCCGGCUAACUUCGUGCCAGCCGCCGCAGUAA